GAUUUGAUAUUAGAAAGGAAAAGGGGGGUGGUGGCUGGAUGAAGAGGGUUAGGAUUAGAAAAGUGAUUGGGUGAGGGAGGUGGUGAAGAUAAGGAAUUUUGCAGGUAAGAGAGAGUAUGGGGCAAAGAAUCUGAAGAUGGUUCUGUUGCUGUUGAUGAUGGUGAAGUCCCUUUCUGGGUUGAGAAUUCGAAAAAGCAGAAGAGAAAGAGAAAAGCAAAACACAGAAGGAAAGCGAGAGAAAAAGAAAGAGGAAGGAGUUGGCAGAGUUGACGGAUUAUGGCGGCGGCGACGAGCUCAGAAAAUGGAAGGAGAGAGAGGAUGGGUUAGUGGUGGUGGUGGCAGUGGUGGAAAAAAGAUGAGAACAUUGAGAGAGAGAGAGAGAGAGAGAAGAGAGGGG
rnacentral:lncRNA from 1 species